GACGAACGCUGGCGGCGUGCUUAACACAUGCAAGUCGAACGGAAAGGCCCUGCUUUUGUGGGGUGCUCGAGUGGCGAACGGGUGAGUAACACGUGAGUAACCUGCCCUUGACUUUGGGAUAACUUCAGGAAAUUGGGGCUAAUACCGGAUAGGAGCUCCUGCUGCAUGGUGGGGGUUGGAAAGUUUCGGCGGUUGGGGAUGGACUCGCGGCUUAUCAGCUUGUUGGUGGGGUAGUGGCUUACCAAGGCUUUGACGGGUAGCCGGCCUGAGAGGGUGACCGGCCACAUUGGGACUGAGAUACGGCCCAGACUCCUACGGGAGGCAGCAGUGGGGAAUAUUGCACACUGGGCGGAAGCCUGAUGCAGCAACGCCGCGUGCGGGAUGACGGCCUUCGGGUUGUAAACCGCUUUCGCCUGUGACGAAGCGUGAGUGACGGUAAUGGGUAAAGAAGCACCGGCUAACUACGUG
rnacentral:rRNA from 1 species